rnacentral:SRP_RNA from 2 species
GCUGGGCAUGGUGGUGUAUGCCUGUAAUCCCAGGUACUCAGGAGGCUGAGGUGGGAGAAUUGCUUGAACCCGGGAGGCAGAGGUUGCAGUGAGCCGAGAUCAUGCCACUGCACUCCAGCCUGGGCAACAGAGCGAGACUCCAUCUCAA